UAUUUAUAAUUGUUCCACAAAGUGGUGUAAAUCAGCUAUUAAAGUUAGCACUUCGCUUCGACUACUCAUUGUCUCCACAUUGCUUUAAUUGUUUUUUUCAUACUCAUUGGAGGGGAUCAAAAAGGUGUUGUAAACCAUCCCUUAUUAUAAAACGUAAGAAGAAAAUUUCGCAAGUCAAACAAUCUCAAUAGCACUACCAACCUCGUUGGCCGUUAAUAAUAGCCUCCCACCAUGGAUCUUCCUCCUUCGAAUAUUAAAGAAGCAAUACAUAAACGUGAGAGCCGGCUUUGAAGGAUAACUCCUCCUCGCUUUGUCUGGAAAUGUACACUCCACGGCGUUUGGACUCUGACUAGAAGACUUCAAGGAGUACAAGUUCAGGUUUGAUACUGAACC